rnacentral:rRNA from 1 species
GAUGAACGCUGGCGGCGUGCCUAAUACAUGCAAGUCGAGCGAAGAAACGAGGUACUUGUACCUCUUGCGUGAGCAGCGGACGGGUGAGUAACGCGUGGAGAAUCUGCCUAUAAGAGUGGGAUAACUUUGGGAAACCGGAGCUAAUACCGGAUAAUAUCUUUAACCGCAAGUUUCAAGAGUGAAAGACGCAUUUGCAUUCACCAAUGGAGAUACCGCGUCGUAUUUGCUUGUUGGUAAGGUAAAGGCCUACCAAGGGGAAGAAGCGUAACCCGCCUGAGAGGGUGACCGGCCACACGGGAACUGAGCAACGGUCAAGACUCCUACGGGAGGCAGCAGUAGGGAAUCUUCGGCAAUGGGCGAAAGCCUGACGGAGCAACGCGGCGUGAGUGAUGAAGGUCUUCGGAUCUUAAACCUCUGUUAUUAGGGAGGACGAAAUGUGUAAGUAACUAUGCACGUAUUGACGGUAACUACUCAGAAAGCCACGGCUAACUACGUG